UACGGAGGGUGCGAGCGUUGUCCGGAAUCACUGGGCGUAAAGGGCGCGUAGGCGGCAUGCCAAGCGUGUGGUGAAAGCCCGGGGCUCAACCCCGGGUCGGCCGUGCGGACUGGCGUGCUUGAGCACUGUAGGGGCGGGUGGAAUUCCGGGUGUAGCGGUGGAAUGCGUAGAGAUCCGGAAGAACACCGGUGGCGAAGGCGGCCCGCUGGGCAGGAAGGAAGCGCAAGCUUCCGGCUGACGCUGAGGCGCGACAGCGUGGGAGCAACAGG
rnacentral:rRNA from 1 species